CAGCCAUUUUGAACUUAAAGUUUGAAGGCCUUUUAAAUGAUUAAAUGGUAAAAACUAACCAACAAAAUUGUACUUUGUUGUUUUAUCUGUUUUCUUUGUUUUAAACUAAUAUGUGCAGUGCAUAAAUAACUAAAAUAGAAAUAACAAGUGAUUCUGUGUUUUAUUCAAUCGUUUCAGUGGGAAUCAAAGACAAAAACAUGUUAUUUGUAUGGGUUGUUAAAGUAAACAACUGUCAAGAAAAGACUAAAAUUGUGAAAAUUCGAAAGUUCUAAUCAACCAGAGAUCGUUUCAGCAAGAAAACCUACAGACUUAACAGUUUCAUUUAGUUUGGUAUAGCAAAUUACCAACAGGAUGUGUAUUAGGUCUUAAAUUGGUGACCUACUUGUUUUUCAUAGAUUCUGGUUGUUGUCCCAAGAAGAAACUUGAAGAAGCUAUAUUUACAUUUUUAGUAAAGCAGUUAUAUUUAAGAAAGAAAAAUGAGCUUUACAGACAGUGAUAAGAAGGAGGCCAAGCACUUUGUAGAAUUUUACAUUGACAAUAUUGAGAAUCACAGUAACUAUUUCCAAUAUUAUUUAUCUGAAAAUGUUGUGCUUGAUUGGUUUGGAAAGACAAUCAAAAAAGAAAAGAAUGUUACUGCUUUCUUGAAGGACCAAAUGGGUUCUGUGAAUCAUUUCCUUUCUGACGCAGUUCCUGUUGGGAAGAUUGGUUUCAGGGAUUCUCAUAUUAUUAAAGUCCCAAGGACCCAAAAAAUGAUUCCUCUUGCUUUAAUGAGCCCUCCAAGGCCGAUCCAGCUACGGAGUGAAACUACAACUCCCAAGAAACGACCAUUGCCUUCAUCAAGUAACAACUACAGAAGAGAACUUCGCAGUAAAUAUCCCAAAGAACAGGGCCAAGGAGAUGGUCCUCACAAUCAUACGGAAAUCCCCAGUUCACCUAGGAAGAAAUUAAAAACCCCCUAUGAAGUUUCUUUAGAAAGUAUUGACACGUUAGAGAAUGAGUGCGAUUCAACAGAAAGUAGUCAUAAACUUAAAUAUGUACUAUGCCAAGGCGAUCUCGAGUUCCAUAGACCCAGCCAGAAGAAAUAUCAGAGUGAAACAAAGUGGAGGCGGCCGUGUAAACUCAGUGUAGCAUAUACUUCUCUGGGCAGUAAUCAGUAUACGAUAUAUUUGAUAAUAUACGAAGGUAACGUAAAGUGUCGUAGAAAUUUGAUGAAAGAAUUUGAUGCAGUUGACGCAGAGGAGUCUGAAAUUUAAUUGUUUCUAUGUUAGGAGUUUCGUUGUGGGAGUAUGAAAGAACAGCUUUAUAAUUAUAUUUAUAGUUUUUCAAUGCAGCAAUUUAAUGAAUAAUUAGCAAAUAAUUCUAGAUAAAAUCGGAUAUUUGUUUCAGUAGUUAUUAAUAGCAGUAAAACGUAAACUUUUUAGAUUUGUUUAUGCCACUCUUCAAUUUUUAUGACUUUUGAAUUAUUAACCAACUACACAACAACUAUACUAUAUGCUUACCUCAACAUAUCGUGUGUUAUCUACAUUUGACCUAUUUGAAUAUUUAGUCAUUAUUGUGCUUGUGAUUGUAAUUAUUAACUGUUAACACCACUUUCUCCUGCUAAUUGAUUAAAUGUGACAUUUAAAACUCAAGAAUUUCAACGUCUACAGCGCCCAGCUCUCAAUCCCCACGUUGGGCGCCAAUGUGCAAACUCUAAUCAAGGAAAUGCUAACAUGUAAACUGCAGUGUGUAAGUUGUAGAUCGAUGUGUAAUGUACAGUCGACGUUUUUAACAAUUCCACCUAGCUCUUAUCUUCUUCGUGGUACAUUCCACCUUUAUCAAAAGAUACACAGUGCUAAAUUGCAACAAUGUAAAUAAUUGAAAAAGUAUGUUGAACAAAGUCCAAGAAAUGUUUAACGAAGUCGAGAUCGGUGGUGGUUAGUUAGUAAUAAAAUCUAGCUCUAUUAAUACUCCUUCAGGUCUAUAGGAAAUCAAACUGGGUGUUUGGAGAUUUGCUCUAAUGAAGAUUGAAAUUCUUGAAGUUAUGACAAUAUUUUUGUGAUAGACGAUUGUAUGUGCCGGGGUAAUAUUCAGCAAUGAUGAGCUGUUGAAAGCUUCUGCUUUCCUGGCAGGAUCCAGUAAUGAUAGCAGAAGGUAUAUCUGAUUAUUGUUCGGAAAGACAAUCAAUUGAACAAGUUGCAGAAGAAAAUGGUCUUUUCUCAGCUAAUAGUUGUAGUCACAUUGGUCGAAUAUAGACGAUACACAACAAUUUUCUGUAUUUAAAAGUUGUAAAAAUCGAAUUCUUGUUAACUAUUUGUGAAAUGUUAAUGAUUAAUUUAUAUUUUUUUUAUUUAAUAUAUAAAUAUAUAAAAUCUAGUUAAAUAUUACAUUUUGCAACAUUAGAUAUAAAUAACAAAUAAAAUGUGUUGGGUUUUUGAUUGCCCAAUAAAUUUUAAAAAUAAUUUGUUUAUAUUUUUACUUUUUUUACAGUUUCUAAAUAAUACUGUAGUAUAAAAACAACGUAUUCAUAUUCUUUAAAUUGCUGUAUUCUUUAUAUUUUUGCAUUUAGUAAAUAGCACUUUUGUUUUAUUGUUCAGAGUUUUCAAAGUAUACACAAAAAUCAAAGAGAUAUUAUUCUUACAAUUCAAUUUAAAAAAGAUUGUCUAAAUGCCUCUCAUACUUCUAUUUUUUUAGAUAUAUUAAAAAUAAUUGAUGCUUUAAUUGUAUAAUUGGUGGAAUUUAGGUAUUGGUAUGUCAAAUGAUAAUAUUUCUACAUAAAUCAAUUUUUUGUAUAACCAAUCGUAUGUAAAGAGACGACUACAAAAAAUAUAUAUUUUUUUGAAUAAAUGUUUAAAUUGUAAAAAUUAUAGUAAAAAUGGAUAAAACACCUUCAAAAAGUCAUGAUAAUUAUCAUAGAAAACGAAGUCCGCCCGAAAAAUCCUAUCAGAAAUUUUUCGGAAUCCUUUCUUGAAUUUUAUAAGAGUUUCGAAGGUCCCAUAAACAAAAUUUAACAGUAAAUGAAUUAGUGAGAAGAGGAGCCCAAAUUUGAAGACAGAUGAGCGAAAAUAUUUGAUUCCUUUUUGUAAACUUUAAGCUAAAUUAAUGUAGUUUAAUAUAAUCAAAAUUUAACCCUCACGCACAAGUUGAAGUCCUUGUGACAAACAACUUCAGUGAGAAACUGAGUUUAUUUAUAAUGUUAUUAUUUGCUAAAAAUAAACUCUAUUAUUAUUAUUAUUAUUAUCCAGAUUUAGCCAUACGGCUCACACUCCCUCUAAGGGGAAAAUUGACUCAUCCCAGAUACCUACGGUAUCAAAAGGAUUGAGCUCUGGUGGGACUCUUUCCGUGUUAUCGAGCCCUAGGUGACUUGGAAUGCAGGUGUAUCUCCCAAAAAUUUUCGUACACUUCUGGCCGUCGCAAGUAGUACAGCUUUCUGCAUGGUCUUAUAAAGAUGUUCAUUGAGACCCAGCUUUUUUAUGCUUUCGAGGAGGGUCUUCGGAAUGACUCCAGUAGUAGAUAUAACAAUAGGUAUCGUCUGGGUACUUUGCAUUCUCCACUGUCUCCGUAUUUGAAUUUCCAGAUCUCUAUACUUGGCGAUCUUUUCAGUAAAUUUACUACGUAGAUUAUUGUUGUUAGGUAUCGCCACAUCAAUUAGUGUUGUUUGUCUUGUUAAUUUAUUAACUAGUACGAGAUCUGGUCUAUUAUGUGCCACUGUUUGGUCUGUGAGCACACUGCGGUCCCAGUAUAGCUUGUAGUUGCCAUCCUCAAGCAUACUCUCAGGAACGUAUUGAUAAUAUGGGAGAUGGUCCGUUUGGAGAAGUCCCAACUUGUUAGCUAUCUCUUGAUGAAGGAUUUUUCCCACUGCGUCAUGCCGUUCCUUAUAUUCAGUUGCAGCAAAUGCCUGGCAGCCCCCUGUAAUAUGUUGGAUGGUUUCUUGGGCUUGACAUCCAUAUCGGCAUCUGUCGUUUUGAACCUGAGGGUCUUUGACGAUAUAUUUCAGGUAAUUUCUGGUUGGUAUAACCUGAUCCUGAAUGGCCAGUAAUGAACCCUCCGUUUCAGGGAACAUCUUUCCUGAUGUCAACCAAUAGUUCGACGCUGUAUUGUCGACAUAGUCUUGGCUGACCUCAUUGGGAUGUCGCCCGUGCAGAGGUUUACCCAUCCAGGCGCGCAGUUUUUCGUCCUUAGUAAGGUGGUUUAAGCGCAUUUCUGGUUCCCUCAGUUUGAUCGGUGUUGUGUCAUCUACUGCGCAAAUUGCGCGGUGUAGAGUAGAUGUCUCAGCCUGCAUCUGAAAAUAAGUUCUUAAAUUAGCAAUUUGUUUAUCUAAUUGCUCACCUAUAUCCAUAAGUCCUCUUCCUCCUAAAUACCGGGGUAAUGUCGUUCGUUCUACUGCACUUUUAGGGUGGUGUUUUUGUGCCUUUGUGAGGUGUGUUCGUACUUUACGCUGAAGAUUUUCUAUAUCCGUUUUUGUCCACUUAACAAUACCAAAUGAAUAGCUAAGCGCGGAACAAGCGUAGGUGUUUAGUGCCUUAAACAAAUUUUUACUGUUAAGCUGUGAACGAAGCAGCUGUUUUACCCUUCUUAUAAACUCAGUAGUUAUCUCAGUUUUCAUUUGCUUAUGGUCAAUUUUCCGCGCCUGCUUUACUCCAAGAUAUUUGUACAUAUCGUUGUCGCCCAUAGCCUCGAUGUUCUGGCCAUUUUGCAUAUCGAAUCCACCGGGCUGUACCUUUCCUCUGACUAUAUUCAAAACACGGCACUUGUCUAGACCGAACUGCAUACUAAUAUCAUUAGAGAAUGUUUCUACAGUUUUUAGCAUCUCUUCUAGGUGUUCUCGAGUGGAAGCCAUUAAUUUCAAAUCAUCCAUAUACAACAGAUGAUUGAGCUUCGCUACCACAGUAUUAUUGCUUUUAAUGCUAAAACCUGAGUCAGUGGAGUUUAAUAGCUGGGAAAGGGGGUUCAAAGCUAAACAGAACCACAAUGGACUCAACGAGUCUCCUUGAAAUAGGCCCCGGUUGAUUUCGAUAUUUUCGGUUUCGAUAUUGUUUUCACCAGGUAUUUGGAGGUGAAUUUUAGUCUUCCAAUCUCUCAUUAUAUGCCUUAAAAAGGUCACUAUGUUAUCAUCGACUUUGUAUAUUUUCAAUAUAUCUAUUAGCCAUUCAUGCGGUACUGAAUCAAAGGCCUUUUUAUAGUCAAUAAAAGCAGUAAAAAGGCUCCUUUUUUUAGUGAAUGCCUGGUUAGAAAUGACUGAGUCGAUGAUAAGCUGUUCUUUGCAACCCAUGGAACCCUUAGAGCAUCCUUUCUGUUGAGGCUCUAUGAUAUUGUUUAGAGCACAAUGUUGGUAGAUACGCCGGGUUACACAGGAUGUGACCAAUUUAUACAAAGUUGGAAGACAAGUAAUUGGGCGGUACUUGGAUGGAUCUUGGGUGUUAUUUUGAUCCUUGGGUAUUAAAUAAGUAGUUCCCUGAGUUAGAAAUGAUGGUAAUUCCUGCGGAUUAGAAAUAACAUGAUUAAUUAAUGUUGAUAAGCACUCAUGAAUACUCCAAAACUUUUUAAGCCAGAAGUUCUGAACUCCGUCUGGUCCAGGAGAUUUCCAGUUAUGAAGCUCUUUGAUGACAUUUGAGACUUCUUCAGUCGUGAAUGGUUCGUAGUUAGCAGUGACGUAGUGGUGACAGUUGUGGGUCGUAUCUUCUAUCCAACCAGCAUUGUUGUUAAAAACAGCCGGUGUGGAAAGUUGAUUUCCCCAAAACUCAUGAAUUUCUUCUUGGCUUGGGUAAGACUUGUCGACACUUUCUACGGUGGAAUUGAGUUUUCGGUAGAACGCCUUCUCAGAGUUCUCAAAAAGUGCAUUGUCACAUUUUCGGUUGUUACUAACUUUAUACCUUCUUAAUCGUCCUGAAUAGACGGAGAGUUUUUGUUUUAAUGUAUCCAGACACUGUUGGGCUGUGUUAUUUUCUGGAUCGUAUCUCGAGUGUCUUGCAGUGCUCCGCAUAAUUUCUUCAGCUCUCUUAAUGACCUUUCUACUUGUUACACCUCUUACAUAUUCUGUAACUUGACCAAUAUCCCUACGCAGUAAUUCAAUUUUUCCGAGAAGUCUUUUUUCCCAGGGUGCAGUUCUGUUACCAGUCCUUCCGUUAUUAGUACCCCGUCGUGUUCUGAUCUUAACGCCCAUUACAUUAGCAAUUGCUGUUGCUGCACAGUAGAUUAGCAUAUGCAGAUAUUCCAGUGUGUGGGCUUCUACGACAUGAUUGGGUAGGACUUCAGUGUUCACAAUUUGUAACAGCGCACCUAGUUUCUUACAAGAGUUUAUUCGUGGUAGCGGUGGUCUGCUAAGUGGAUUUGUUCCAUUAAACUCUUGUACGGCACGAGCCAUUUCGUUUGCUAGACUAUCGCGCAACUCGUUGUUUUCCUGCUGUGUAUUGUCAGGUAGAGUUUCUGGUAUGGGAAUCUCAGGGAUCUGCUCAUCAAGGAUUUCAUUAGGGACCUGAUCUAAAACUAGCCCUUGAUUGUUAAUCUCCCGUUCGACUUCGCUUUUGAUCGUAUUGCGUCUAGCCUCUGGGAUAAGGUUGUUUCUUAUGAUUACCCGGUAUUGAUCUGAUACUCUUUGCUCCGAUACUUGAAUAUCUGGGUACUCCCUGCAAAAUUCGGCAUACAGCUGUUGUCUGUAGCCGAUCGUUUCUUGACCGAAGUUUGUCACCUUAUAAUAGGAGCGCAAAAUGCUUUCGUUAAUGGACACAGUCCAUUUCAUGCGCUGCCUCGGUCGUCCCGCUUGAGUGAGCGCCGGCUGAUGUUCCAGCGCAGCACCUUCAGCGGGUGGAGCUCUUGCUGUUGUUUGGCUCGCUUGUGGUUGUUGUUGUUGUUGGGCUGUAGCUGAUUGUAUGACAGGGGCCCGCCUCCUCAACACCCUGCCACCGACGUCCCGCAUGCUGUCACGUCCAGCGCCGGCUCCAGACGUGCCCUGGCGAUCCCCAGGCAGCGAUCCUAAACAUAAAUUACUAUUCUCCAUUCUCAUGGGUGUGCAUUUUAUACCUACUGCCAGGUGUCAGUUUUUGUUCCACGGCAAGUAUCCCUGCUACUCUCUGGGUACUGGCGCUACGAAUACCCAGAAAGCAUCCCCCAUUCGCAGGGGGCCGCGCCUGAUAGAAGAACUGACAAAAAACUCCCACAGGCUUUGAUUAUUAUUAUUAUUAUAUUAUUAUUAGAUCAAUCUAAGAAUUCAUGUGUUAAUUUGGUUUUCGCAUUUCGCUUUAACGACUUUCUUCCUCUUCCUUCUCCCCCUCUUCCUCAGUCGUAAUCCCGAUGAUAGUGACACCAUCAAAUUUUUAUAAUUUUUUUCAAAUCACCUUCUAUCCUUCUUUCUAGUGGGCUAGCUGUUCGGCUUCGUGUAAUCCUCGGUUUAAUCAGAAUUUUUGUUUGAUCUGCCAAACGGCUUGGAGAUCUUCCUUUAGAUAUUUUUCUUUCAAUUCUGCCCUCUAUUAUCAGUUUUUUCAUCGUACCUGUUCUUCUGACAAUGUGUCCAAAGUACUGCAAAUAUCUCUGUUGUAUUUGUUUCAGCAAUCUAUCUUUUUACUAGACUCGUUCUAGUAUUGAUACAUUUGUUCUAUGUUCAACCCAGGAUACUCUUAACAUGCGACCGUGUGGAUACGUCUUAAAAGUCUAUUUUAUUUGCAUCUGCUUUUUUCAUGUUCCACGUUCUGGAUGCAUACAUGGCUAUAGAAAACAAUAGUGCUCCUAAAAACCUUAAUUUUCUCUGUACUAUUUUGAUCGAGUUUGUCCAAAUUGUUACGUUGCAUCAUAUCUGCUCUUGCAAUAGUAAGCUUUCUACAUAUCUCCCCAUCGCAUUCUCCUUUGUGUGUUAUGAGACACCCCAGAUAUUAGUGAUGUUGAUUAUAGUUACUUUCGAGUAUUCGUUAUAAAUCGUUACUUUUGUAUAAAGUAAUCAUUUAAAGUAUUCGUUACUUUGAUUACUUUUGUAUUUGAGUACCGGUAAUCAUAUCGAGAAUCGCAUUUCUCAGUACAUAUUUUGUAUUAGUACUAGUAGGAUAAUUUGAUUACCUACUAUGGUUACUCUUGUAUUUGAGUACCAGUAAUCAUAUCGAGAAUCGUAUUUCUCAGUAUUUUGUAUAAGUAUAAGAUCCGAUAUAAAAACCUUCACCGAUCUAUUUAAUGGAUAGAAAUUAAAUGAUAUGUAAUUGCUCUGUCAUUGCUGCUCCACAAUAUCAGUCUUCUUCUUCUUAAAGUUCCAUCUCCUAUCGGAGGUUGGAUAUCAUAAUGGCUAUGGUCACUUUGUUGGCUGCUGCCCUGAACAGUUGUAAUGAACUACAGUUAAACCAUUCUCUAAGGUUCCUCAGCCAGGAGAUGCGUCUUCUUCCUAUGCCUCUUCUUCCUUGCAUAAUAUCAGUAAUCUCGAGUAACCUUUUUCCAUCAAUUAAGUGCCAAAAACAAACCCUCGAAACUCUAGAUGACGUACCUUAGCAAUAACCCUGGGCACCCAGGUGCUUCGGAGGUCGGUUCUGAUUGCAAAUUCGUGUUCAGUGACCCUAAAUACCCCGAAAUAAGAAAAUCUGUCCCUUAAAAUACUGAUUUUAACAUGUUUAUGCAUUUUUCGAUGCGUUUUUUCGACCGAAGCUUUUCACCUCGCAAUUUUUACAGAAUGGAUCGAUUUGCCUGAAAAUUUAAGAAUAAGUAAUGGAUAGUCCAAGGAUCAAAAUCUAUAUGAUGCCGAAAGGCGCUUUUACCAUGGGGGUGGUUGCCACCCCAUCUCGGGGGUGGAAAUUUUUUAUUAUAUUUUGACCAAAAAAGUUGAUAAAAACAUCAAUUCUAAGCAAAAAAUGUUCUAUACAUUUUUUUGAUAAAAUUAAUUGUCUUCGAUUUAUUCGCUAUCGAAAGUGUUAGUUUUGUAUAGAAAAAAAUCAACGUUUUUCGAUAUAGAUACUCAUUUACGAUUCACUCAAUUUUUGCCGUAGAAAAAUUUUUUCAAACCAGGUUCUUAGGAAUUAAAUAACCUACAAUUUUAUAUAGAAACAUUUUUUCGUAUCUCUGAUGCAAAUCUUUCUAUUCUGAAGAAAAUUGCAUUUUUUACCAAACUACAAAAAUUUGUUAUUCGCUUUUAUUUCCAGUUUUUUUAAAACUAAUCAUUCUAAGCCCGUCAAACUUCUAGAAUCUAUUAAUAAUACAUAAAUAAAUAAGAAUGAAUAAGGCCAAUGACCAAAAACACCGCUAACUUACAUUACUAUGCUUCCAAUUUAAUUUCUUUUUUUUUCAAAAAAAAUAUAUUGAUUUUUUAACCGUAACUUUUUUAUUUUUCAUCCUAGAAAGUUGUUUAAAAAUAAGUUUGUAGAUUUUUACAAGAUCUGUAAGCUUAUUGAUAUUAAAUCUUUUUAAAAUCUUCAGUGGCAAAAAGAGGUGACUUUGAAAGGAUUGGUAAAGGUGGUUUUUUCAUGUUAUUACAAGUUUUAAUUGUCAAUAGCUCACUCAAUUUUUGUUAUAGAUAAAAUGUUUGCAAACCAGUUUCUUGGGAAUUAAAUCAGCUACAAUUUCAUAUUUAAACAUUUUUUCGUAUCUCUGAUGCUAAUCUUGGUAUUCUGAAGAAAAGCCCAUUUUUUUCCAAACUACAAAAAUUCGUUAUUCACUUUUAACACCAUUUUUUUAAAACUAAUCAUUCUAAGCCGGUCAAACUUCUAGAACCUAUUAAUAAUACAUAAAUAAAAAAGACUAAAUAAGGUCAAUGACUAAUUUUAAUUAGGGUGGUGAUUGGGGGGUUGCUUGCUAUCACUUUUUCGCUGAAAAAAAUAGGGACUGACAUUCUUUUCAUUAUAAGUCACUUAAUUUUUGAGCCAGAGCCUUUUUUUUAUUACUGGAAAUAGAUAUUACUAAGUACUUUAAAUUUGUCUGAAUAAGUUGUCCUUGAAAAAUGCAUAGUUUUCCCGUCUUUUGACUUUGAAACUACCAUAUUUAGCAUUGGACGAAGAAGAGCCAACAUAUAAUAAAGUAUAGUUCGGUUACUAUUAGUCUUAAAGAAAAUUUAAAAAAACGGUUUUGUUUAUUUUUUCAAAAGGUACAUUUUUGUUAAGCAAAGUUGUUUAGAUAAAACGAAAACUUUGGGAGUUAUUAGCAGAAGACUUAUUAAAAACAUUGAUUUUUUCGAUAAAAAACUAACACUUUCGAAAGCGAAUAAAUCGAAAACUAUCAAUUUUAUCAAAAAAAUGUAUAGAACGUUUUUUGCUUAGAAUGAACGUUUUCACCAAUUUUUGCGAUUAAAAUAUAAUAAAAAAUUUCCACCCCUGAGAUGGGGUGGUAACCACCCCCAUGGUAAAAGCGCCUUUCGGCAUGAUAUAGAUUUUGAUCCUUGGACUAUCCACUACUUAUUCUCAAAUUUUCAAGCAAAUCGAUCCAUUCUGUAAAAAUUGCGAGGUUUUGUCCUAUUUUAAGCUUCAUUACUUGGACUAAGUACUUUGUAACGAAUAGUCACUUUUUCAACAUCACUACCAGAUAUACGAAGCUAUUUACCAUUUCGAAGCCCCCAAUCCCUGUAUGAAAAUUGUUCUGUACUCUGUCUACUAUCUUGAUUUGUUGUCUUACUCCUAUUUAGCUGUAACCCAUAAUCUUUGUUUUUCUCCUCCAGACGUCUCAUUCUGUUUUCCAUUUCUUAUUGUUUUAUUCUUCUUACAUUACUGCAAAACAUCAAUGAGAUAUUGUAAAUUGAUUGAUUUUGUGUCUUUACCAUCAUAAAUUGUACUGGAUUAUGAUUUUCAGUUUUGUCCAGGACAUUUAUGCAGUGUUUCGGACGUUUCUUUUUUUACUCGUUUCUAACAGUAUUUAAUAAUGUGUAGUUAAUUUAUCAUACCAAAGGAAAAUAAAUAAUUGCUUACCUCAUCAAGGAUGAAUUUAGCUAAUUGAACUAACAACAAGAUAAGGGUAGUGUUGUGUAAAUAAAACCAUGCGAAAGUUUUUGAAGUAUUCUUUGCUUUUGUAUGAAUCAUACUAAUAAACGUACUUUAGGUAUUAAGUAGUUUUUUUAUAUUAAUAAAGCAAAUAUUUUUCAUUAACUUUUUGUCUUACUCAACUUUUAAGACUGUUUAAGCAACUAAAGAAUUACAGACAAAUUUAGAUCUGGCUGGCCAGAUCUAAUAAACCAAUAUCUAAAUUUCACCCAAAUUACUGUACUGUACUUGUCUAACUUCUUCCCAGCUUAUUUUCUGAACUUCGGGAAAAAGUUAAUUGUAACAUGGCGGAUAGACAUCAUUUUGUAAGAUAAUUGUAAUUUUAAAUAUCGCUGGUCCGGAAGAAGAAUGACGUAUCUGCAAGUUUUGUCAAUUCCUGUUUAUUGCGUAAUUAACUUCUAAAAUGCUGUGUACAGAUGAUACAAAAACGACAGAACUGUAACUAUGUUCUGAUCCACUACAGGGUAGUUGCGUCGUUAUUGAAAUACGCGCUGUUUUAGACCUUGUUUCACAAUGGCGCAGCUGUAGAUAGGGUUGAAAAUGGGGCGAUUAAAUCAAGAUAAUAAAAUUCGAACCAGUAGUGAUGAUAAUAAAGGCCAUCGUUGUAAGAAUAACCGCCAUACUAAAUAUUUAAAAAUGGUUUUUUGGUACAGAAAAAUUUUAAGAUAAAGCAUGACGCAACUGUAGAAAAGGAUUAAAUUAAGAUAAUGAAAUUUGAACCAAUAGGGAUGAAAAUAAAAGCCAUUAAUGUCAUACCGAUCCUUCUGGGCGAUUCUUCUUCUUCUUCAGCAUGUUUGUAUCCACUCCUGGACAAAGGCCAUGAAGAAUGAAUGACGCAACUGUAGAGAGAGUUGAAAAUGGGGGAAUUAAAUUAAGAUAAUGAGAUUCGAACCAAUAGGGAGGAAAAUAAAAACUAUCGUAAGAAUAAAUGCCAUACCGAUGCUCCUGGACGAUUAUUGUUCAUUUAAUCCCUAUUUUAAAUACCGCACCCUCAGUGCAAGACUACAGUAACUCAAAAUUUUAUGAAAAUGAAGUAAUCAUGGAAUUCGAUUGAAAACAUGCAUAUCUAUCCCCUGUAAAACUUUAGUAACUUUCAAAUGCUUAAUGGGCUAAAUAUUACAACAACAACAGUUUCACUAUUUUGCGUUUUUGAACAUAAGUUCCGUGCAAAACUGUUGUAACUCUAAUGUAAUAGAGUUACAACAGUUUUGCACGGAACAUUGCAACGGAUUCGAUAACAAGCAAUGAAAAAAGUAAGAUAUUUGUUAUUUUAAUAUCUAUAUCUGUGGUGUUUAAUUUUAAUAUACAGCGCGUCUACGUAAUCCAUUAACGGCUGAGACAAUAAACAAAGAUUUUCUAAUAAAUUUUAAAUUUCUAAUAAAUUCUAAAUAAUUCAUGUAAAUUUUAUGUCCUUUGUGUGAUAUUAUAUUUAUUUUCCAUAAGAUGUUUGCGAUGUCGUUCGACCAUUUAUUUGUUAGAUUGGAUUAAAACCACAUAAAUUAAGACUAAUUAUUUACGACCAAAAAGUAUUUUUUCUCAUGAAAGGAAAAACAGUUAUCUUAAAACUUGUGUAUUGACAAUACUGAGAGGUCAAAAAUAUCUAUUCUCAGAAAACUUGCCAAAGAACAGCAAAAAAUUCAAAUGGCCAAAAAGAAAGAUUUGGUAUACUUAUGCCAUUCGGGUAUGAUACCAGAAGCCCACCAUAGUUUUUAUAAAAAUAUUUUGGCACCAGAUGAUGUACGAGAAGGGGACAACAACUACGGUAAAACCUGUCAGCAACGGCCACUAAAAAUGAAAGAACUCUUGGCCGAUAUAGAAAGGUGGCCGGUAUUGCCAGUUUUUGUAGUCUAGAUAUACAUAAUUGGUUUGGGGAAUUUUUAAACUGGCCGUUAGUACAGGUGGCCGUUGGUGGCAGGUGGCCGGUAACACAGGUUUUACUGUAAAAGUAAAUGUGUCUACACUUUUUACAAUUUUCUCCGUGCAAAACUGUUGUAACUUUGAAAUUCUAAUACUAAAUGUGUAGUGAUUAACAAUUUUUUCCGUGCAAAAGUGUUGUAACUUUGAAAUUCCUAAUUUUUUUUGCAUUAAUAUUAUUUUAUUUAAAUUUAUAUUUUUGGUUAAUGUAAUAUAGGCUGAAAAGCAUGCAAAAUCUUAAUCAAAUGUUCAUUUUUCUUAAAACUUGUGUCUUAUUUCACCGAUAUUAGCACGAAAAUAAACAAAAUCGUCUUUAUCUCGAAACUUACUUAUUUUGACUUACUGCAGUCUUGCAUUGAGGGUGCGAUAUUUAACCGCUUAACGCACACAUUUAUUUGCAAAAAUACGUCAAAAAAUUAACUAUUUAUUUUAUUACAGUAAAAUAAACUACGUACAAGACUAUUGUCACUAGAUAUAAUCUAAAGUAAAAAAGAAUAUUUUAUUAGAAAUAUAUAAAAUAACAAAUACCCUCAUGCGCUCACCCGAGUUAACUCGGUCGUAACUUUUUACAUACAAAAUACUACAAGUAAGAGAAGAAAAUCGCAAUUAUUCAAGUAUAAUACUGUUAAAUAUUGCUAACAGUGUAAUACACUCUAAAACAAGGGGUUACACACAGGUACGUCACAGUCAGGGCAGAACGUGACGUCAGCAAAAUAGAAUUCUACUCAUCGUGAUCCCACCCCAGUCGGCAGUCGAUCGUAGAAAGUUUAAAAUUAGAAACGAGAAAACAAGAGGGACGGGCGCCCAUAUAAAAAUUUUUAGGGGAGGCCAGACGUGAAGAUGUUGCAGAUUACAUUUCGUAUACUUUUGAUAACCAUAUAUAGGUUAAAGCACCCGAAAAGCUAGGGGGGGCACGGCCCCCCUGCCCAUAGGUGCGGGUGCCCAUGCAAGUGGGGAUACCGUUAUUUAGCGCUAGAGGAGUUAAAACGCGUAGGCGCCUUAUAUAUCGUACAAAUAUUUUAAACACGAGUUAACUCGGUUAAGCGAAAAUAGAAACGUAGUUUAAAACCGAGUUACCUCGGGUAAGCACGUUAAGCGGUUAAAAAUCGUUUUUCUGCUCUCCUGAAGAAAUUUGCUUUUUGCAGUUACAUCAUUCUUCCGGACCGGCGAUAUGAUCAUAUGGCAACUAGUAUCUCGCACCUUUCAAGUUCUUUACAAAGACACCUACACCUAUACAGCUGAACUAAGUUUCAUGUUCGGUUUGUGAUGAAAAAGUAAGUUUUUUUUACUGAAAAAUGAGACAUUAUAUUCAAAAAUACUGAAAAAAAGUCUAGAAAAUAUGAUGCGCCAAUUGUUUAACGAUGGUAUUUGAAAUGUAUUUCGAGGUUUUUGGAUUGAAACUCAUAAUUGUGUAGGUCUCGCUGAAAAUAACUUAAGGGGGAAGUCUACUUUGACAAGGGAAAAAACAGGCCGAUUUUCCGGAUUUUUUUCCAACAAAAUAUGACUCGUACAUUAAAUUACUUUAAACCGCCAUCUUUAUUAUAUAUUCAAGUACAGUGGAACCCCGAUAAGUCGGCCCCCGAUAACCUGGAGUUCCGGCUAACCCGGACCGAUUUUCGUCAGACAUUUCAACAAUAAAAAUGUAUGUAAUAUAAUAUUUGAGAGAUAAUGUGUGUUUGUGUAAUUUGAACUAUACGAUAGUAAAAAUGACUCAUGGCACACGGCGCCGGCAGCAGAGCGACGUUAUUAUCGGAAACAACAAGCACCUGUUAUUCCUUAUUUAUUUCCAACUGUCUUAGCAUUAUUUAAAAAAGACUAUUUAAAAAAAGACUAGACUAUUUAAAAAAUUCUUUUUUAAACAAUGGUCUUAUGUUUUCACUGUUCUUAAAUAACAUAACAUCCUUCCGAUUGUGACUGUAUUGUGUGUAGUACAGCCUUGUAUUGUUCGCUUCCGUUUGCUUAGGUUUGUGUUUGUGUGUUUUUAGUAAUUUAGAUGUGUAGGUACUGUGCAUAUAUUUCAUGGUAUUUCAAUUAUAACGGAGUUUAUCUGUAAGUAUACCGUAUUUUAUUAAUUUUUACCAUAUUCUCCGGCUAACCCGGAUUUUCGAUAACCCGGAUUAGCCGCGGUCCCGAUUAAUCCGAGUUAUCGAGGUUCCACUGUAUUUGUAAAAAAAAUUCAAGUCGAAAUAUUCAAAAUUGCCAUCGUGACACUCCUUCAAGCGCAGGUCCGUUUUUUAGGUGCCCAAACGAUGUACAGCUGGUUCCUAAAAAAACUGAUACGACUCUUAGUAAGAUUUGAUCAUUUUGAGCAGUGUAUGAUUGGUCUGACAUUAUAUUAUAUUUAUUAUGACGGACAAAUAAUAAAAUAAACAAACAAACAGCCAUUUUUUGAGGUUGAAGUUAUCUGACAAAUUUAAGAUUUGGCAGUAACAGUGACAGUAUGUAAAUAAUAAGUAUUUAUUCUUCAGAAUAUAAUAAAUUAAAUAUAAUUAAACUCAUAUUCAUUAUAUCACACCUCAUCAAAAGCUUUUUACAAGAAGAUAGUCAGCGAUUUUGAUAUGGCUUAGAGCCAGACUACAUCAAGAUCGCCUAUAAAUCGUGCUGGUAAUUGCAUUGCAGCGAGACCAAAAACAAAAAGAAGAAGAAGACGAAAGUACACUGCUCAAUUUUCUACAAAAUACGCUUUAAGAGUCGUAUCAGUUUUUUUUGGAACCAGCUGUACAUGAAAUCUCACGUCUGGGUGAUCUGAAACAAAAAACAAAAUAUGGUUAUCAUCUACAUUGUAUUGACUCUCGUCUGACGGAGAAUUUUUUUGAUAUCGUUUUUUGUUUAAUUGUUAUGUACAAUAAUAACAUAAAAUUUGGGCAAAAAAAUAGAAAAAAAUUUCAAGAAUUUUUUUUUCGGCGUCAAAAUUUUUAAUCGACAAAAUCAUCCUCCGUCAGACGAGAGUCAAUACUAUGUAGAUGAUAACCAUAUUUUGUUUUUUGUUUCAGAUCACCCAGACGUGAGAUUUCAUGUACACCGUUUGGGCACCUAAAAAAACGGAUCUGCGCUUGAAGGAGUGCCACGACGGCAAUUUUGAAUAUUUCGACUUGAAAUUUUUUUUACAAAUACUUGAAUGUAUAAUAAAGCUGACGGUUUAAUUUAAUUUAAUGUACGAGUCAUAUUUUGUUAGAAAAAAAAUCCGGAAAAUCGGCCUGUUUUUCCCUUGUCACAGUAGACUUCCCCCUUAACAUAUAUGCUUUCAAUAAAUGGAAUAUUACUUGUCAUAUCCCAAAUAAAAUUAUCUUACAAAAUACGUUCACUUACCAUUUUCAGUGGUUACGUAGCUGAAACGUCAUAAAGACAAUGAGCAAAUACCUUAGUUCAUCAGUUAUCGAGAAAUUUAUUAAAUAAAGAGAAGGAGAAGACUUUACACGUACUAUUAUUGUAUACGUUCAAGUAUUGUGUUAAUUAAUAGCUUUAUAAUAUUUAGCAUAGUGCAAUGGUUCGUUGUUUAAAUUUAAUAUUUAGGAGCGAACAAACAUUGCAGGUUCUUUUGUUUAAAUAUGUUUGAUCUUAUAUUUGUUGGUUGUACCUGUCAGUGCAAAUUGUGUAUAGAUUUGUAAUUUUUUUUUCGAAAUUUGUAAUAUUCGAAAAAUUUAGCAUGUAUGUGCGUGAAAUAUGAUUAGGUAUGUGAAAUCAGAAGAAGUAAAAGUAUUUGAAAUAAGCGUUUUCGAUGAUGAAAAUAUUCGUCAUUGUACUUUAUAUACUCUUAUCCAUUUAACACAAUAUUUUUCCUUUUUUUAUAUAUCAUCAAGUUAUUGUGAUAAUUUUUUAAUAUUUUGUGACGUAGAACUUACAUAUUUUAGUAAUUUUAUUUUUAAAUCAGUGAUUUAAAAUAACUGUUGUUUAAAAUCACACGCUUCUCAGACAAGUAUUAAGAAAGUCUCGUUUUUGUAUCGAUAGUUAUUUCACGGCUCUUCUAAAUUUUUGUUAAUUUGGCACCAGAGUUUUUUGCAUUUUCUGACCGGCGCUUUAUUUCUUCAGUACAUCCCCCUUGUUAGUUACUCCAUCUGGGCUAGAGCCAGAUAUAAAAAUUUAACUACAACAGCGAUGUUGUUUAUCGCCGUUAGAUUGUUGUUAGCUCUGUCAAUGUUAUUAUCAAUUUUCUCGUUUUGUCUCUUAUUUUAUCUUAUUUUAAGAACCAUUGUAGACGAAGAGGCAGCGCUGAAAAAUCUCUUUGAAUUUACUAAAGCUAAAUUUUUCAUAGUUGAUUACUGUGAUUGUGUAGAGAAACAUACUGCGGUCGGUCAAGCGAAACGUAGAACAGGGGUUACUGAGAGGGUAUCAAAGUUGCUUUCCUUCGAAGGUAAUUAAAUCCAUUUACUAAGGCUGAAAAUCAGUACACACGUUCUAAAUUAAAUAUAACUAAAAGUUAUUAUAGUCGGUCAGCUGUAUGACGGGACAGAGCCGGUCGAUCGGCCCCAAUGAAUGUACAGGGUUAUUCACUAUAUUUUGAACCCCGUGUAAACUGCUUUAUUUACAGAAUUAGAAAAAAAUGUAAAAUACAAAAGUUAUUCGAUUUUUAAUUAUGAUUUUCUGACAUAUAUAUCGUACUAGUGACGUCAUCCAUCUGGGCGUGAUGACGUAAUCGACUAUUUUUUUAAAUGAGAAUAGGGGUCGUGUUCUAGCUCAUUUCAAAGGUUAUUCAAUUCUCUAUAAUAUAGUACUACAGUAAAACCUGUGUUACGGCCACCUGAACUAGCCGGCCAGUCUCAAAGUUCCUCAAACCAAAAUUUGUGGACUACAAAAACUGGUAUUAGCGGUCACCUUUUUAUAUCGGCCAAUAUUUCUGUCAUUUUUAGUGACCGUUAUUGACAGGUUUUACUGUAUAAACAUUAAGAUUAUUAUUUAUACAGGGUGUCCAAAUUUUUUUUGAAUUAUUAAUUAAACAAUUAAUUUAAUUAAAUUUUUUUUUGAUACUCUGUAUAAUUAAUCAUGUUAAUGUUUAUAUUACUGAAUAGGGAAUUUAAUAACCUUUCAAAUGAGCUAGCAAUCGACCCCUAUUCCCAUUUAAAAAAAUUAGUCGAUUACGUCAUCACGCCCAAAUGGAUGACGUCACUAGUACGAUAUAUAUGUCAAAAAAUCAUAAUUAAAAAUCGGAUAACUUUUGUAUUUUACAUUUUUUUCUAAUUCUGUAAAUAAAGCAGUUUACAAGGGGGUCAAAAUAUAAUGAAUAACCCUGUACAUUCACUGGGGCCGACCGACCGGCUCUCUCCCGUCAUACAGCUGACCGACUAUAAUAACUUUUAUUUAUAUUUAAUUUAGAAUGUGCCUGUGUACUGAUUUUCAGCCCUAGUAAAUGGACUUAAUUACCUUCGUAGGAAAGCAACUUUGAUACCCUUUCAGUAACCCCUGUUCUACGUUUCGCUUGACCGACCGCAGUAUGUUUCUCUACACAAUCACAGUAAUCAACUGUGAAAAAUCUAGCUUUAGUAAAUUUAAAGAGAUUUUUCAGCGCUGCCUCUUGGACUAUUGUAGCAGUAAUCAGAUCAACCUCGGAACUAGCGAGGAUGGUUGUAUCAUCCUUAUUUCUUAAGUUGCAAAUCUUCUUCCCUUCGAUAGUGACGCCACCAUUCCAGUCCUUUGUAACUAUCCACAUUAUACGUUCACCAUACAUGUUGAAUAGAAUUUAGCAUAAUAUGCAGCUGAGACUUGCCUCGCGCUCUUAUAGCUCUGAAACUUUCGGUUAGUUCCCAAUGUCGAAAGCUUUAAUAUAAUCUAUGAAGCACAGAUAUGUUGAGAUGUUGAAUUCUCUGGAUUUUUCUAUAAUUUGUCGUAGUAAAAUUUGUUCCAUAGUAGUCCCAUUCGUCCGGGGACGAAAUCUGCUUGUUGCUCCGCAAUUUCAGGAAGUAAAAAGAGCUUUAUCCUCUCUAGAAUUAUUAUGUGUUUUUCUUCUUCUUCAGGUGCCAUCUCCGCUACGGAGGUUGACAAUCAUCAUAGCUAUUUUAAUUUUUGAGGCAGUAGCUCUAAAUAGUUGUUUUGAGCUGCAUCCAAACCAUUCUCUCAGGUUCUUCAGCCAUGAAAUUCGUCUUCUUCCGAUGCUUCUUCUGCCAUCUAUCUUUCCUUGCAUUAUGACUCGCAGGAUGCCAUACUUCUCGCUCCGCAUCACAUGUCCGAGAUACUGUAGCUUUCUUUCUUUAAUUGUAAGUUCAACUUCCUUCUCUUUACCUAUUCUUCUCAGUAUUUCAUUGUUCGUAACUGUGUCUACCCAGGAAACCCUCAUAAUUCUUCUAUAGGUCCACAUUUCAAAGGCGUUAAGUCGUCUCGUUGUCUCUACAUUUAACGUCCAUGAUUCCACUCCAUAGUAUAGUACACUGUAUACGUAACAUUUUGUUAGGCGUACUUUAAGAGCUAAUGUUAAAUCUUUGCUACAUAGGACCUUUUUCAUUUUCAUAAAAUUAGAAAGUGCUUUUUCGAUUCUGACUUUGAUUUCUGCAGUGUAGUCAUUAUUUUCUGUUAUAAGUGUUCCGAGGUAAGUGUACUUUUUUACUCUUUCGAUCUGCUGGCCCUCUACUAUCAAGAUUUCGUUAUUAUUAUGGUUGUUUUUACAAAUUUUCAUAAACUUCGUCUUUUUGAUAUUGAGAGAGAGUCCGUACUCCCUACUACACCUUACUAUUUUACUCAUGAGUCUUUGCAGGUCUUGUAAACUAUCGGCUAUUAUUACUGUAUCAUCUGCAUAUCUGAUGUUGUUAACUAAGACUCCAUUUACUCUUAUGCCGACUGUUUCAUCUUCCAGAGUUUCUCGCAUUACCUCUUCAGAAUAAGCGUUAAAUAAUAGAGGUGAUAGUAUGCAGCCUUGCCGGACUCCUCUCUUUAUUUCCAUUUCUUCAGAUGUUUCUUUUUCAAUUCUUACUAUUGCUCGCUGAUUGUAAUAGAGGUGUGUUAUUAGUCAAGUCUCUUUCAUCUAUGUUUUUAGUUUUCGGUAAAGAGGACGGUUAACAUCCAAACAUCUCUGUGUAAGCACGUUGAAGGAGAAUAAUGCCUCUCUGGUACCCAUACCAUUGCGGAACCCUUAUUGAGUGUCACUAAUAUCUAGCUCCAGGUUAGAGUGUAUUCUGGCGUGGAUAAUUUUCAGCAGAAUUUUCAAGGUAUGUGACAUUAAGCUUAUGGUUCGGUAGUCACUGCAUUCUUUGGCAUUCACUUUCUUUGGCAAACACACAAAUGCUGAUGUCAACAUUUCUCUAGGGAUGAUUCCCGUAGUAUAGAUAGCGUUGAAUAGUUCUACUAUUAUGUCCAGGUUUUUCUCGUUGACCAACUUUAUCAGCUCGCUAGGUAAUUCAUCUGGACCAGCAGAUUUAUUGGUUUUCAUAGAGUCUAUUGCCUGGCUAACCUCUGAUUUGGUUAUCUCUGGGCCCACAUCUCCGGUUUGGCUAUCUACGGAUGUACUAGCUUCUCUCUGGUCAUGAAAUAGUUCCUCUAUGUAUUCUUUCCAUCGUUGUAGUUUUCGUUCUGUCUCCAUUAUAAUAUUUCCAUUUUUGUCGAGCAAUAUAUUUGAGGUUUUCUAUUUCCUAUUCCGGCUAAUUCUUUGACUUUUUUAUGUAGAUUGAAGUUGUCAUAUCUGUUUUGCAGUUCUUAUAUUUCUUUACAUUUUUCAGAGAAGUAAGUUUCUUUAGCCUCCCUAAUUUUUCUUCUUAUUUGGUUUUGAAGCUGUUUAUAGCUGGUCUUAUUGAUGGUUUUGUUUUUUCUUUUUUCAUUCAUCAUCUCUAGAAUUUCCUCAGUCAUCCAUUCUUCUUUCUUACAUUUGGUUGUUGUAAGUACUUUCUUACUUGGCUCUAAUAUAUAGGUUUUGAAGAAUUGCCACUGCUGUUCUACGUUGCAAUUAUUUCCUGGGUUUCUGUCUAGAUUUGUGUUGAUUUCGUGUUUCAGAUUUUCUUUUGUUUCUUCUGACUUUAGUUUCUGUAUGUUAAGUUUAUUGUUGUUGCGGCUUUUUUGCGUCUUUUUAGUUGAAGUUGAAACCUAGCAAUACGAAGACUGUGAUCAGAAGAUACGUCCGCUCCUGAAUAUGCCUUUACUGCCUGAAUUGAGUUUCGAUAUCUGUGCUUUAUUAGGAUGUAGUCGAUUUGAUUUCUGACGAUUUUGUUGUCUUUGUCAGCUGGCGAUUUCCAUGUAUAAAGGCGUCGCUUAGGUAAUUUAAAGAAUGUAUUUGCUGCUAUAACAUUAUGCUCCUGGCAAAAUUCUAAUAGGCGAUCCCCUCUGUCGUUUCGUUCGCCAAGCCCAUAUGGUCCUACAUUAGGGUAGCUAUGAUGUGUUAAAAGUAUCUUACUGAUGUGCGCAAUUAGAGCAAUUGUGCGAUAGUUGAUACUUAAUUCUUUCGCUUCCUUUUUAUAAAUGAGGACUCUUCUUCUCGAUGUGCCUAUCCGUGACGAAUGUUGGCGACCAUCAUGGCAAUCUUUAUCUGCAGCAACGCAGAAAAGCUGCACAGAUGUUGUGUUUAACCAGGUUCUGAGGUUCUUUAACCAGGAUAAUCUUCUUCCUAGACCUCGCUUUCCAAAUAGUUUUCCUUGCAGUACGGCUUGUAGGAGGGCAUAUCUGGAUUUAUUUCGCAUAAUGUGUCCAAAGUAUUCCAACUUUCGAGAUUUGAUGAUGGUUAGUACCUCUCGGUUCUUCCCCAUUCUUCUAAGGACCUCCUCAUUUGUAAUAUGAGGAUAAAUAUGUACAAUAUAGUGAUAAUAUAGUGAUUUUUAUCUUUAUCAAAUUGUAACUUUAAUAACUUUGUAAAUUACACGUUUUAACAAUUAUUGUUGUUCUAUUGAUACUAUUACUUCUUCUGAACAAAUAGCAUACCGUUUAUGAUGUGAUUAUAGUGUACUCAGAGAGUUCACGUGUUCAAGAAUUUAAUUUAGGUUUUGUAAAAUAUUUUGAAUUAUAUUCGCAUUUAGGGUAUACCAGUGAUAAUAAUUGAUUUCGUUUCUUUUACCCAGCUGCUCAAAUAUAAACUUUUUAUGGUAAUAUUUGACUGAAUAUGAUUAAUAAGUUCUGAAUCUUAUAAAAAAUUAAUUAUUUUCCUGUUUGGUUAACCGAUCAGAAUAUUACAAAGUAAAUACCGUUGUUAUAUGUAAAAAGACAAUUUUAUCUACGUUUCCUUCUAUUUGCUAUCAAUAUUAAGGCCGUUAUCAUAUCGAACAAUAUGUUAUAUAACCUCGUUAUAGAAGUUUGGGGCCUGAUUUAGGAGCUAUUGGAACCCUACCUUUUGAGGCUGUCAACGUCGCGUCGGUCCUGAGCUGACCUCAAGAGAUGGUGUAGAACCACCUAAUAGUCACUGCUAGAUUAACGAUAUUUGGUGAUGAUAAAAUGUGUCAUACCCAAGUGAAUGUGGCAUGAAACUAUGAAUGUGGCAUGCGCGAAACACCACCGACAGCAGCGCUGUAGCGGUGGAACACAGUACUAAGAAACACGGCUCGUAAAUACUGAAGCUUGGUCAAUCACGUGAACAAAAUAAGUUACCUAAGUUUCUCGACAUUUAUUGUUUUCAACAUACCGUAGAAGCCAAAAAAUUACUAUAUAAUACGAAAUAAUUAAAUAUGUAAACUAAAUAUGAAUUGAAAUAUAUGUUCAACAUUGGGCUAAUAAAGUGGACGAAUGACGAAAGAAAAUAUUGAAAAUUAUUAAAGUAUCAUAUAUUUAUAAAUAUUAUCAUAUUCCAUUUAUUCUGAAGAUUACUAAUAUUUUUUUCCGAAUUAAAUAUUCUUUGAAUUAGUCUAUUAUGUUUAAUUAUUGUCUCUUGUCCUACUUGUCCAACUUUUCAUACUUUUUUUUAUUAUUUUUAAUAUAAAAUAUUUGAGCUGCUGAUUUUAUAGAAAUGAUAUCAAUACAAAAUAUAUUUUUGAUAGUACAUGUAGUUUAUAAUGAUCUGAAUAAUGUUAAAAUUGUAAUUGUGAUGCAAUUAUAGUGCCACGUUUUAGUGCCUCAAAUAAAAAAUAUCGUAUAAUUCUUUUUAUACAGUGACAUUUAUAAAUUAAAUAAUAAAUAGUAGUGUUACAAAA
rnacentral:misc_RNA from 1 species